UUUUGGCUGGUCUCAGUUCUUCUUCCAAUUCCAUCUUUUUGUUUUCUUGAUUAAAAAAUGCCUCCCUUGUAGGUACCUAACACCUCAAGGGUUAGCUGAGACUUUAUGUGGUUCACCAUUAUACAUGGCUCCAGAGAUCAUUCAGAACCAAAAAUAUGACGCGAAGGCUAACUUAUGGAGUGUGGGAGCAAUUCUGUUCCAGCUGGUCACAGGGAAGCCACCCUUUGAAGGAAAUUGCCAAUACCAGGCCGACAAUGGGUGCUGGAGAUAAGGAGGCACUACUUAAAAUACUUCUAUAAGGAGGCACUACUUACAGUACUUACAGAUAAGGAGGCAUUACUUAAAAUAUCUACUUAUGGACAUCUCAUGUUUCUUAUAUUCCCAUAUCUCUUAAAUUAGUUGUUCAGAAGGAAAGAGAAGAGAAACUUGCAGAAAUAUUGAAAGAUCGGCUCAACCAAUAUGUGCAAGGAAACAAAGAUGCCUUCAUUAGUCAAGCUGAAGCUGAAGUCUCAAGGCUCUCCAAUGCGGGUAAUAUUUUGAUCCUCAUCUUGCUUUCAGCUUGUUUCUUUCUGAAUCUUGCGUACUGUAGUCUGUUUGGGAUAACUGGAGGCCAGAAGUAGCUAGACUAGACCCUUGUUUUAGUGAACAGAUUUCUCCAAGUUCAGACAUAAAAGUUAAAAAGUGGCUGCUUCAUAGUAGAUGCACCUUUUGUUGAUUGGUUGGAAAUCACAUUACAUGCUUGAUACAGUUUCAGUUCAAGA